UUCUAGACUUCCCAUGUUCCAAGUCCACUUCUGCCGGGCAGAAUAGAAACCUCGUCAGUUAUCACAACUCAGUAAAGACAGUAAGGGAGAAAGAAUGGGUAUAAGCACUUAUCAAUACAUCAGACUGGAAACUCCUAGAAUGGAAUUAUUAGAUGCAUGUAUUAUUUGGGAGCAUUAGGACCAGGAAUAUUAACAAAACUGUGAAUAGUAUGUGUUCUUUUCAUAAUUCUGACUUGGGGAAGAGGGCAAAAAAAUAACUGUAGCUAGUUUUAGACAUCCAUAAACAAAAUUCUGUAUUACUUUCAGGUAAGACAAGAGAAAUGACAAAACAGCACCACAAGCCUUGCCUGGGGUAGAGAGAUAUUAUACAAGGGAAACUGUUUA
rnacentral:lncRNA from 1 species